GAUGAAUGCUGGCGGCGUGCUUAACACAUGCAAGUCGAGCGAGAAAGAUUCUUCGGAAGAUUUCUAGCGGCGGACGGGUGAGUAACACGUGGGUAACCUGCCCUAAAGCGUGGGAUAGCCUUCCGAAAGGAAGAUUAAUACCGCAUAAAAUUAUUUUAAGGCAUCUUGAAAUAAUCAAAGGAGCAAUCCGCUAUAGGAUGGACCCGCGGCGCAUUAGCUAGUUGGUGAGGUAACGGCUCACCAAGGCGACGAUGCGUAGCCGACCUGAGAGGGUGAUCGGCCACAUUGGGACUGAGACACGGCCCAGACUCCGACGGGAGGCAGCAGUGGGGAAUAUUGCACAAUGGGGGAAACCCUGAUGCAGCAACGCCGCGUGAGUGAUGAAGGCCUUCGGGUUGUAAAGCUCUGUCUUUGGGGACGAUAAUGACGGUACCCAAGGAGGAAGCCACGGCUAACUACGUGCCAGCCGCCGCCGUAACAC
rnacentral:rRNA from 1 species